rnacentral:rRNA from 1 species
AAUGGAGGAAACUCUGAUCCAGCCAUGCCGCGUGAGUGAAGAAGGCCUUAGGGUUGUAAAGCUCUUUCAAUUGUGAAGAUAAUGACGGUAGCAAUAGAAGAAGCUCCGGCUAAAUUCGUGCCAGCAGCCGCGGUAAUACGAAUGGAGCAAGCGUUGUUCGGAAUCACUGGGCUUAAAGCGUAUGUAGGCGGACUUACAAGUCAGGAGUGAAAUCCCAGAGCUCAACUCUGGAACUGCUCUUGAAACUGUAAGUCUAGAAUUCUGGAGAGGUUGGGAGAAUUCCGAGUGUAGAGGUGAGAUUCGCAGAUAUUCGGAGGAAUACCAGUGGCGUAGGCGCCCAACUGGACAGAUAUUGACGCUCAGAUACGAAAGCGUGGGGAGCAAACAGGAUU